AUUCGAAGCAACGCGAAGAACCUUACCAAAUCUUGACAUCCCCCUGACCGUCCCUUAACCGGGACUUCUCUUCGGAGCAGGGGAGACAGGUGGUGCAUGGUUGUCGUCAGCUCGUGUCGUGAGAUGUUGGGUUAAGUCCCGCAACGAGCGCAACCCCUAUUUUUAGUAGCCAGCGGUUCGGCCGGGCACUCUAGAGAGACUGCCGGGGAUAACCCGGAGGAAGGUGGGGAUGACGUCAAAUCAUCAUGCCCCUUACGAUUUGGGCUACACACGUGCUACAAUGGCGUAAACAAAGGGAAGCGACCCUGUGAAGGUGAGCAAAUCCCAAAAAUAACGUCUCAGUUCGGAUUGUAGUCUGCAACUCGACUACAUGAAGCUGGAAUCGCUAGUAAUCGCGAAUCAGAAUGUCGCGGUGAAUACGUUCCCGGGUCUUGUACACACCGCCCGUCACACCAUGGGAGUCGGUAAUGCCCGAAGUCAGUGACCUAACCGCAAGGAAGGAGCUGCCGAAGGCAGGAUCGAUAACUGGGGUG
rnacentral:rRNA from 1 species